UGAUAGUGUUGGCGGUGCUGGCGGGGAAGUGUAGGUGGGAAGUGGAGUCCAGGGUUUUAAACCAUGGCUGAUACCUAUAAUAUUGGCCUUGUAUUGGUUUUUUAGGAGAAUGAUAUGAUAUUUUCUUAAACUCAUAGUGUAUCGGAACUGAAAUGGUGUGAAAUGGCUGACAUGGCCGACAUGGCCACUACACAAUGUCAUUAAUUUCAAAUUGGUCAAAACAGAUAUUUCACUGGAAGAAGCAAAAACUUUUACCAGUUGCAGGCUGCCACCCACAGCUCUUCUCCUCUCAAUUCCCCAACUUUAACAACUCCAAUCUUCUUUCUUCUCUUCAAAUUCCUUGAAAUAUUUUCUGAAUGUUCUUCAUAAGAUUAAGAUUUGAAGGAUUCAAACAUCUAAUCUUUCCUAUCUUUUCCUGAUCUUGGAGAUUUCAAGCUUGCGUGGUGAUAUUCCUAAACUUUGAACCAUGUUCUUUAUGCUCUGUUUGGAUGGGGUGAGGGA
rnacentral:misc_RNA from 1 species